rnacentral:rRNA from 1 species
UGGGGAAUUUUGGACAAUGGGGGAAACCCUGAUCUAGCCAUCCCGCGUGUGCGAUGAAGGCCUUCGGGUUGUAAAGCACUUUUGGCAGGAAAGAAACGCCACGGGUUAAUACCCCGUGAAACUGACGGUACCUGCAGAAUAAGCACCGGCUAACUACGUGCCAGCAGCCGCGGUAAUACGUAGGGUGCAAGCGUUAUUCGGAAUUACUGGGCGUAAAGCGUGCGCAGGCGGUUCGGAGAGAAAGAUGUGAAAUCCCAGAGCUCAACUUUGGAACUGCAGUUUUCGCUACCGGGCUAGAGUGUGUCAGAGGGAGGUGGAAUUCCGCGUGUAGCCGUGAAAUGCGUAGAUAUGCGGAGGAACACCGAUGGCUAAGGCAGCCUCCUGGGAUAACACUGACGCUCAUGCACGAAAGCGUGGGGAGCAAACAGU